rnacentral:tRNA from 1 species
GUUGUUGUGGCCGAGUGGUUCAGGUGAUGGACUAGAAGUCCAUUGUGGUCUCCCCGCACAGGUUUGAAUCCUGCCAACAACG